AUAGACAGCUGGGAGAACCAAGGAAGAGCUCUCUUUUGCCUGCUUCGAGGAGAAAGUCAUGAAGUGGAUUAUCUCACCUGAUAAAGAUUCACAAGUUUCAAGGCCACUAUUAAAACAAACAAACAAACAAAAUCAAUGCCAUAAGCAUAAGUAACAAAGGCACAUUUGGAGAGCAGCAGUGAGAUGAUCAAUCAUUGAUGACAAAUCCAAAUUUUCAUGUUAAGAUGUGCAAAAGCACAUUGUAGACAUCUGUUCUGUGUGCAAAAUAAACAGCAGACACUUCGUUUCUCAGCUUUUUUCAGAUGAGUAAUCUGCUGGAAAUUGAGCAGAAUUACAUGGAAUAUAGUCAUUUUAGUAUACAUAAUCUAGAAAAGAAUAGAUCUCUAAACAGAUGAAUUCAUAAAUUAUGUAUUUUUGACAUUUAAAUACAUCAUGGGGACCCUAUAAAUCAAGCUCUCUCUGCAUUUACCAUGCAUGCAAAACACUUUCAGACCUUGCUGAUUUCAGUAGGCCAGAAUCUCUUGUUCCACAGCAUCUAAAACAGAACUGCAAAACUUCUACCUGCUGCACUUCCUUUAGCAUCAUUUAACUUCAGCAUUGUUUCAAGCUUGUGCCCCUCUGCCCAACCUGCUGCUAUGCUGUUAAACCAUUUCACUGUUGAAUUUUAGUUUUCUAAACUAACUUUUCUUGUUAGGUGUCCGUUUUUUAAAUGUUUAAUCUCAGUGUGCAUGUUUAGAGUAGUUAGAACCAUUCUCUCUCUAUAUAUAUAUAUGUGCACUAUAUUUAUAUGUAUUUAUGUAUGUUUAUAUUAAAAACUAUUUUGCAAGUGUUGCAAAUAUAAAUUUAUGUAUCACUGAAGAGAUAAGAAACAUUUAUAUAGAUGCUGCUGUUAUAUACAGGUAUGGAGGUGAGAGGAAGAAUGGCUGUAAGCCCUCCCAUUGCCGUGGUCCUUCUGGUGAUGCCCUCAGCCAUCACAUGCAGAAUCCAUACAAAAGGUAUUAUCCCAGUUUUCUUCCUGGUUCCAGUGAUCUUUGUUAUUAGUGUUUCAGACCACCAAGUGGUAAGUUGAGGUUAUACAUUUCUGUUAGUAUGAUGCUCCAAACUACAGAGCUUAAAGAUGAAACCAAAAA
rnacentral:lncRNA from 1 species